AGAGUUUGAUCCUGGCUCAGAACGAACGCUGGCGGCAGGCUUAACACAUGCAAGUCGAACGUGAAGCAGGAGCUUGCUCCUGUGGAAAGUGGCAGACGGGUGAGUAACGCGUGGGAAUUUACCCAGUGGUUCGGAAUAACUUCAGGAAACCGGAGCUAAUACCGAAUACGCCCUUCGGGGGAAAGAUUUAUCGCCAUUGGAUGAGCCCGCGUCGGAUUAGCUUGUUGGUGAGGUAAAAGCUCACCAAGGCGACGAUCCGUAGCUGGUCUGAGAGGAUGAUCAGCCACACUGGGACUGAGACACGGCCCAGACUCCUACGGGAGGCAGCAGUGGGGAAUAUUGCGCAAUGGAGGAAACUCUGACGCAGCCAUGCCGCGUGAGUGAAGAAGGCCUUAGGGUUGUAAAACUCUUUCGCUAGGGAAGAUAAUGACGGUACCUAGUAAAGAAGCCCCGCCAACU
rnacentral:rRNA from 1 species